rfam:Rhodobacteraceae bacterium HLTCCO18 ITZY_scaf_705, whole genome shotgun sequence.
GGAUCGGGAGUCGCCGGUGGGACGGCGAACGGAUUGAUCCCCCACGUCUGUGAUCUUGCGAGCUCUCCGCCGAGGCCCCGGCGGCGAGAGGG